rnacentral:tRNA from 1 species
GCGCCCGUAGCUCAGUCGGAUAGAGCACCGGCCUUCUAAGCCGGGGGUCGCAGGUUCGAUCCCUGCCGGGCGCGCCA